UACGGAAGGCAGCAGGGGGAAUAUUGCACAAUGGGCGCAAGCCUGAUGCAGCCAUGCCGCGUGUAUGAAAAAGGCCUUCGGGUUGUAAAGUACUUUCAGUCGUGAGGAAGGUGUUAAGGUUAAUAACCUUAGCAAUUGACGUUAGCGACAGAAGAAGCACCGGCUAACUCCGUGCCAGCAGCCGCGGUAAUACGGAGGGUGCGAGCGUUAAUCGGAAUUACUGGGCGUAAAGGGCACGCAGGCGGUUAAUUAAGUUGGAUGUGAAAUCCCCGGGCUUAACCUGGGAAUGGCAUUCAAGACUGGUUAGCUAGAGUCUUGUAGAGGGGGUAGAAUUCCAUGUGUAGCGGUGAAAUGCGUAGAGAUGUGGAGGAAUACCGGUGGCGAAGGCGGCCCCUGGACAAAGACUGACGCUCAUGUGCGAAAGCGUGGGGAGCAAACAGGGAUUAGAUACCCGU
rnacentral:rRNA from 1 species